rnacentral:rRNA from 1 species
AUUGAACGCUGGCGGCAGGCCUAACACAUGCAAGUCGAGCGGUAGCACAGGAGAGCUUGCUCUCUGGGUGACGAGCGGCGGACGGGUGAGUAAUGUCUGGGAAACUGCCUGAUGGAGGGGGAUAACUACUGGAAACGGUAGCUAAUACCGCAUAACGUCGCAAGACCAAAGAGGGGGACCUUCGGGCCUCUUGCCAUCAGAUGUGCCCAGAUGGGAUUAGCUAGUAGGUGGGGUAACGGCUCACCUAGGCGACGAUCCCUAGCUGGUCUGAGAGGAUGACCAGCCACACGGGAACUGAGACACGGUCCAGACUCCUACGGGAGGCAGCAGUGGGGAAUAUUGCACAAUGGGCGCAAGCCUGAUGCAGCCAUGCCGCGUGUAUGAAGAAGGCCUUCGGGUUGUAAAGUACUUUCAGCGGGGAGGAAGGUGUUGAGGUUAAUAACCUCAGCAAUUGACGUUACCCGCAGAAGAAGCACCGGCUAACUCCGUGCCAGCCGCCGCGGUAA